GGAGCCACCACUGGCUGGGUGGAUGGUCAGCCACCUCCCUGGGUGCAAACCUGACAGGCCUUCCCUGCAGGGCUACUCGAAAAAGGUGACCAUAGUCAGCGUGAAGAGGCUGCUUCAGGACCUCGGUGGACACCAGCCCUGGGGGCAAGUAGCCAGUGAGAAAGCAGCCACGGACAGACCUGUGGUGGGAUGUGGAAGGAGCUGGGACACUGACCAGGUUUUCAGCAUAGUGGCUUUUCCAGCCCCACACAGUCGUGAGCCAUGAGUUCACAAAAUUCCCAGUUCCAAGCAGCUUAAGGGAAAAGGGGGGUCGGUGAACCUGAGGCACGGCUACAUCCAGGUGUUUAGAAUCUCGUCUCACCCACUUACCUCUGUCUGACUUAACUCAAGCAACAA
rnacentral:lncRNA from 1 species